rnacentral:rRNA from 1 species
AUGAACGCUGGCGGCGUGCCUAAUACCUGCAAGUCGAGCGAACAGACGAGGAGCUUGCUCCUCUGACGUUAGCGGCGGACGGGUGAGUAACACGUGGAUAACCUACCUAUAAGACUGGGAUAACUUCGGGAAACCGGAGCUAAUACCGGAUAAUAUAUUGAACCGCAUGGUUCAAUAGUGAAAGACGGUUUUGCUGUCACUUAUAGAUGGAUCCGCGCCGCAUUAGCUAGUUGGUAAGGUAACGGCUUACCAAGGCAACGAUGCGUAGCCGACCUGAGAGGGUGAUCGGCCACACUGGAACUGAGACACGGUCCAGACUCCUACGGGAGGCAGCAGUAGGGAAUCUUCCGCAAUGCGCGAAAGCCUGACGGAGCAACGCCGCGUGAGUGAUGAAGGUCUUCGGAUCGUAAAACUCUGUUAUUAGGGAAGAACAAAUGUGUAAGUAACUAUGCACGUCUUGACGGUACCUAAUCAGAAAGCCACGGCUAACUACGUG